AAAGAGCCCCCCCCUGCCAAAAAUUCAAUACCAACUUCUCUCUCUCUCUCUCUCUCUCUCUCUCUCUCUGCCUCUCUGGGAUAUGGGAUGUAUAUGCCUUACAAAAAUAUAGAAUUUGGAGGAGUGGAGGUUGAUUACAUACUGUAACAAGUCAACGGAUGAAGGAGGUCUUGGAAUUAGGAAUACCGCUGUCCCAUUCCCACGUUAUGGUCACCGACCUUUCUCUCUCUCUCUCUCUCUCUCUCUCUCUCAAAAUGAAUGGGUCUGAAAAUAGGAGGAGAUCUCAAUCUCUUAUUCUGAUUCAUGGAUGGUCUUGUUAAGGUCCAUUUUGAUUCACUCUUUUUCUUUCUUCCUAUUCGUCUUGCCCUUUUUCUCACAAUAAUAGAUUUCAAAGAUUUUCUUC